GACGAACGCUGGCGGCGUGCUUAACGCAUGCAAGUCGAACGGAAAGGCCCUGCUUUUGUGGGGUGCUCGAGUGGCGAACGGGUGAGUAACACGUGAGUAACCUGCCCUUGACUUUGGGAUAACUUCAGGAAACUGGGGCUAAUACCGGAUAGGAGCUCCUGCUGCAUGGUGGGGGUUGGAAAGUUUCGGCGGUUGGGGAUGGACUCGCGGCUUAUCAGCUUGUUGGUGGGGUAGUGGCUUACCAAGGCUUUGACGGGUAGCCGGCCUGAGAGGGUGACCGGCCACAUUGGGACUGAGAUACGGCCCAGACUCCUACGGGAGGCAGCAGUGGGGAAUAUUGCACAAUGGGCGGAAGCCUGAUGCAGCAACGCCGCGUGCGGGAUGACGGCCUUCGGGUUGUAAACCGCUUUCGCCUGUGACGAAGCGUGAGUGACGGUAAUGGGUAAAGAAGCACCGGCUAACUACAUG
rnacentral:rRNA from 1 species